GUUUUUGGAUGGAAUGUCCUAUAAAAGUCAACUAAAUCUGUCUGGUCUAUUGUGUCAUUUAAAGCUUGUGUUUCCUUAUUAAUUUUCUGUCUGGAUGAUCUCUCCACCGGUGUAAGUGAGGCGUUAAAGUCCCCCACUAUUAUUGUGUUACUGUCGAUUUCCUCUUUUGUAGCUCUUAGCAUUUGCCUUAUGUAUUGAGGUGCUCCUAUGUUGGGUGCAUAUAUAUUUAUAAUUGUUAUAUCUUCUUCUUGGAUUGAUCGCUUGAUCAUUAUGUAGUGUCCUUCCUUUCCUUUUGUAACAGUGUUUAUUUUAAAGUCUAUUUUAUCUGAUAUGAGUAUUGCUACUCCAGCCUUCUUUUGACUUCCAUUCGCAUGGAAUAUCUUUUUCCAUCCCCUCACUUUCAGUCUGUAUGUGUCCCUAAGUCUGAAGUGGGUGUCCUGUAGAUAGUAUAUGGGUCCUGUUUUUGGAUCCAUUAGUGAGCCUGUGUCUUUUGGUUGGAGCAUCGAAUCCAUUCACGUUUAAGGUGAUUAUGAACAUGUGUGUUCCUAUUACCAUUUUCUUAAUUGUUUUGGGUUUGUUUUUGUAGGUCCUUUUAUUUCUUGUGUUUCCCACUUAGAGAAGUUCCUUUAGCAUUUGUUGUAGAGUUGGUUUGGUGGUGCUGAAUUUUCUUACCUUUUGCUUGUCUGUAAGUUUUGAUUUCUCUGUCGAAUCUGAAUGAGAUCCUUGCUGGGUAAUCUUGGUUGUAGGUUCUUCCCUCUUAUCACUUUAAAUAUAUCAUGCCACUCCUUUCUGGCUUGUAGAAUUUCUGCUGAAAAAUCAGCUGUUAACCUUAUGGGAGUUCCUUGUAUGUUGUCAUUUUUCCCUUGUUGCUUUUAAUAAUUUUUCUUUGUCUUUUUGUCAAUUUGAUUGCUACGUGUUUUGGUGUGUUUCUCCUUGGGUUUAUCCUGCCUGGGACUGUCUGCACUUCCUGGACUUUGGUGGCUAUUUCCUUUCCCAUAUUAGGGAAGUUUUUGUCUCUAAUCUGUUCAAAUAUUUUCUCAGGUCCUUUCUCUCUCUUCUCCUUCUGGGACCCCCAUAAUGUAAAUGUUGUUGUGUUUAAUGUUGUCCCAGAAGUCUCUUAGGCUCUCUUCAUUUCUUUUCAUUCUUUUUUCUUUAUUCUGUUCCACAGCAGUGAAUUCCACCAUUCUGUCUUCCAGGUCACUUAUCCGUUCUUCUGCCUCAGUUAUUCUGCUACUGAUUCCUUCUAGUGUAUUUUUCAUUUCAGAUAUUGUAUUGCUCAUCUCUGUUUGUUUGUUCUUUAAUUCUUCUAGGUGUUUGUUAAACAUUUUUUGCAUCUUUUCGAUCUUUGCCUCCAUUCUUUUUCUAGGUCCUGGAUCAUCUUCAUUAUCAUUAUUCUGAAUUCUUUUUCUGGAAGGUUGCCUAUCUCCACUUCAUUUAGUUGUUUUUCUGGGGUUUUAUCUUGUUCUUUUGUCUGGUACAUAGUCCUCUGCCUUUUCACUUUGUCUGCCCUUCUGUGAAUGUGGUUUUUGUUCCACAGGUGGCAGAAUUGUAGUUCUUCUUGCUUCUGCUGUCUGCCCUCUGGUGGAUGAGGCUAUCUAAUAAGGUUGUGCAAGCUUCCUGAUGGGAGGGACUGGUGCUGGGUAGAGCUGGGCGUUGCUCCGGUGGGCAGAGCUCAGCAAAACUUUAAUCCUCUUGUUUGCUGAUGGGUGGGGUUGGGUUCCCUCCCUGUUGGUUGUUUGGCCUGAGGCCACCCAGCACUGGAGCCUACCCAGCUCUUUGGUGGGAUAAUGGUGGACUCUGGGAGGGCUCACACCCAGGACUGCUUCCCAGAACUUCUGCUGCCAGUGUCCUUGUCCCCAUGGUGAGCCACAGCUGCACCCUGCCUCUGCAGGAGACCCUCCAACACUAUCAGAUAAAGAAACUGUGGCUCAGAGCGACUAAGUAGCCAGCACAAAGUCACAGAGCGAAUAAGUGGCAGACGUAGUGUGGAAAUGCAAGUGGGUCCGUCUCUAAACCCAUGCUCUUUCAGUUCUACCACGCAAGGAUGCAACACUUUCACUACACGCUUCUUAAAGAGGUGGUAAAGGGCAACCCUUCCCCACUGAGCCUGUAAAGCGAACCAACACUGCUCUCCAGGGCUUAUAACAAUUAUUUUGUUUUGCCUUUUUAAAAAUGCAAACAUAGUGGAUUAUAAACAUCUUCUCUCCUAAAGGAUCCAUUAAUUGCAUCCCCACUGCACCACCAUCCAUAUGUCUACGAGAAAGCUGAAGGAUUUUGGGAAACACAUAAUUAAGACCCAAAAGGGAAGCCAAGAAUGAAGAAAAGCUUCCAAAGGAUGGAGUGACUGCCAGCAAGGCUUCCCAAGGAACUGCCCUGAGACAAAUGAGGUGUGAACAUAGGUGGUUUUCUUAUAAAACUACCAGGAAGGAAGAGGGAUAAAGGGUCCCUAGGAGUAUAAACAACAUCAGUUAAGGACAAGAAAGGAAAAGGAGAUAGUGCUGCCAGCCAGAGGGAUAAAGGGAAAUAAGAUGCCCUUUUACUCUUGUGCCAGGAGAGAAACCAAUGCCAGAGAGGAUCAUUCUAAACCUAUUAAGAAAUAAAGGGAGAAUUAGAUCCACGGGCCCAUUUGGAAGCUAAGACAGCAAAAUGGUUUGUUGUCUGCCAGUGGGAAGACCAACAGAAAACUAGAACAAUUUAUAAACAUGCUUAUCCAAGAGAUUUGGACUGCAAGGAACUGUAAAAGAUUGGAAGAAGAGACUGUCAUCC
rnacentral:lncRNA from 1 species